rnacentral:rRNA from 1 species
UACGAGGGGGGCAAGCGUUGUUCGGAAUUAUUGGGCGUAAAGGGUGCGUAGGCGGUCUGACAAGUCUGAUGUGAAAUCUAUGGGCUCAACCCAUAGUCUGCAUCGGAAACUGUCGGGCUUGAGUAUGGGAGAGGUGAGUGGAACUCCUAGUGUAGAGGUGGAAUUCGUAGAUAUUAGGAAGAACACCAGUGGCGAAGGCGGCUCACUGGUCCGGUACUGACGCUGAGGUGCGAAAGCGUGGGGAGCAAACAGG